AGAGUUUGAUCCUGGCUCAGGAUAAACGCUGGCGGCGUGCCUAACACAUGCAAGUCGAACGUUCUUUUGUUUUUCGGAACGAGAGGGAGUGGCGGACGGGUGAGUAACACAUGGGUGACCUGCCCUGAAGUGAGGGAUACCGGCGAGAAAUCGCCGACAAGCCCGCAUAGGUUCUUUCUGGUGGAGCGGAGAGAGCAAAGGUCCUUUUCGGAGGGCUGCUUUGGGAUGGGCCUGUGGCCGAUUAGCUGGUUGGUGGGGUAAGAGCCUACCAAGGCGACGAUCGGUAGCUGGUCUGAGAGGACGAUCAGCCACACUGGGAUUGAGAACGGCCCAGACUCCUACGGGGGGCAGCAGUGAGGAAUUUUCCGCAAUGGAGGAAACUCUGACGGAGCAACGCCGCGUGCAGGAGGACGCUUUUCGGAGUGUAAACUGCUUUUCUGUGGGAAGAGAGUGGACGGUACCACAGGAAGAAGCCCCGGCUAACUACGUGCCAGCAGCCGCGGUAAUACGUAGGGGGCGAGCGUUGUCCGGAGUUACUGGGCGUAAAGGGCAUGCAGGCGGUCGGACGCGUUUUGUGUGACAGCGGGUGGCUUAACUACCCGAGUAUGCGAAAGACGGUUUGACUUGAGGGCUCGAGAGGGACACGGAAUUCCGGGUGGAGUGGUGAAAUGCGUAGAGAUCCGGAGGAACACCGAAGGCGAAGGCAGUGUCCUGGCGAGUGACUGACGCUGAGGUGCGAAAGCUAGGGGAGCGAACGGGAUUAGAUACCCCGGUAGUCCUAGCCGUAAACGAUGACCACCAGGUGUGGGAGGUAUCGACCCCUUCCGUGCCGGAGUAAGCACACUAAGUGGUCCGCCUGGGGAGUACGGUCGCAGAUUAAAACUCAAAGGAAUUGACGGGGACCCGCACAAGCAG
rnacentral:rRNA from 1 species